GUCGUUGUAGCUCAGUGGUUAGAGCACCUGUCUUACUCACAGGGGGUCGAGGGUUCGAUCCCCUCCAAUGACU
rfam:Ectocarpus siliculosus strain Ec 32, whole genome shotgun sequence assembly, chromosome LG16